rnacentral:tRNA from 1 species
GGGCGAUUAGCUCAGUUGAUAGAGCAGCUGACUCUUAAUCAGCGGGCCUUGGGUUCAAGUCCCGGAUCGCCCA